rnacentral:lncRNA from 1 species
UUUGAAUCUUGGUUGUGGCAUGUAUUUCUAGGAUGUUUGAAUGUGAGUCUAAUGUUUAUAAGUGUUUUAGCAUAUGUAUAAAAAGGUAUAAAUGCCAAUGUUGAGUUUUGGUAGCUUGUGAUGAUCUUUGUAUAUGAUGACUUGAAUAAGGUUAUAGCUUGAAAUUAGGUAAAUGUAUGAAUUGAAAUGUGUGGUAAUUGGUUGAAAUGAUAAUAGCAUGAAAGUGAUUAGGGUUUAGUAGUUUUGGG